CAUUCACGGAGAGUUUGAUCCUGGCUCAGGACGAACGCUGGCGGCGUGCUUAACACAUGCAAGUCGAACGAUGAACCGCUU
rnacentral:rRNA from 1 species